CUCCCGCACGGCUUUUCCACCGACGGUGCCGCCCGCCCCUACCCCCAACUCCCGCCUUGCUUCUUCCCCGUUCUGGAUCGGCCGGCCAUCCCUGCGGCAGAUCCUUCACCGCCUCCCCCAACCUCCUGCGCGCCGCCGGCAGCCUCCCUCCCCCAACCUCCUGCGCGCCGCCGGCAGCCUCCCUCCCCCAACCUCCUGCGCGCCGCCGGCAGCCUCCCUCCCCCAACCUCCUGCGAGCCGCCGUCUGCCGCCCUCCCACAACCUCCUGCGAGCUGCCGGCUUCCGCCCUCCCACAACCUCCUUCGCCGGCGCCGCGCUGCCCCGCCACAUCUUCUUCCUUCGCCGGCGGCCCGCCGCCCCGCCAUCCUCACCUCCCCUGCGGCGCCCCACCUCCUUGAACACCGGCGGCGCCUCCGCACCUCCCCUUCUUCCCGAACAGCGGUGGCGCCUCCACUUGCGUCCUGGGCGGUCGGCGGCGAUCUGCACCUCGACCUCCAUCCCGGAUGGUCACGGUCACGGUGGCCGGUUUAGCUCUGAAUCUCCCCGAGCGCUGCUCUGAAUCACAGUGAGGUGGACUUCCGGCGGCCGCAGACGUGAAUUUUCAACCACCGUGAAUAUGCUGCACCGGUUCUGGAAGAAAUAGCAUGACUCUGGGUGCGAAAAUUGGAUGGAGCUCUCAAAGUUACAUUUCGUUUUGGCUGUUCUAACCAUCAAGCUCAAGUUUAAGUUAUUAGCCGGCGUGUCUAGAGGAGCCUGAGCUGGAGCAUUUCCUUGAGGCAAUGGUUUGAGUGACAAAGAGGAAGCAACGGAAAGGCGUCUCCUGGGUGCUGAUGCCUUUGUCAACCUACCAUGCCAUGGCCCUGUAUGUCACACAUCUUUUGAAGUUCAUAUUAGUGCCUUUCUAAGGUUCAGUUCUUGACUCUUUUGAAGUUCAUAUUAGGUUCGACAAAAUGGCAGUUCUGGAUCAUGUGAAAACAGGGAAAAUGGUAGUUCACUCUUCAUACUUUCGUGGUUCUCUGUAUUAAAAGCUAGAACUAUAGUCUGCUUAUAGCUAGUAAAACCUUUACUUAGUAAGUUGCUGAGUUUGCUAUGUAGAAACAAGAGUACUGCUUUCUAGAGGUUCAGUUUUGUAUUCUGACGAAGUUCUAUUUAGUGUUUCUUCUGAAAUCCAGUUCAAGGUCAUGACCAUGUGCUUUCCAGAGGUUUAGUUUUGUAUUCUUCUGAAGUUCUGUCCAAUGUUUGUUCUGAAAUUCAGUUCAAGGUCAUGACCAUAACACUCUUUUGAAUAUUUAUUAAUUUAGAUUCAAAGUCUUGUCCUUUUGGAUGCAACCAAUGUGCCAUGCCAUGGAAGCAAGUAAGCAUUAAGAUAAGUUCACUACAUGUACACAGAGAAGUUCCUUUCUUAGUUAAUUUAUGUUACAUUCUACCAUUCAUACCAUGGCAUUUUGUACUUUCCUGAUAAUAGUGUGAACUCCCUAUUUGGCCAAGAUCAUGAGAUGUCUACAUUUAUGAAACCUCUCAUGCGACUCCUCCAACGAGCUCUAUUGAAAUGUGUGAAUCUGAAAUUUAACAGAGCCAUCAGCAUGGAGGAUGAGGCAAUGAAUGUCUGCACGUGAAUGUUCAUAGUACAGACAUUAGAGAUAGGAAGUUCAGAUUUUGGCUUCGUCUCUCCAGGAUUGGCUUCAAAAUAUGACAAAUGGUUGCAUGCUUUGUCUUUUCACUGUAGCUCCAUGACCGCAUGCUGUCGUGAGGGUGUGUACAAUUUUUUCGUGCUGCCGACUGCUAUUGUGCUUGAUACUUCA